CCCAACUUCGGUUAUAAGAUCCCUCAAAGAUGAUGAGGUUAAUAGGUUCGAGGUGGAAGCAUAGCGAUAUGUGGAGCUGACGAAUACUAAUCGAUCGAAGACUUAAUCAAAUU
rnacentral:rRNA from 1 species